CAUGUAACAUUAAUAAAAGCUUUUUUCCAUUCUGUUCCUUUCUUAGUUUCAGAAUAGUAGCAUGAAGAAUUUAUAACAGCUAUUAUGUUUCUUUUAAUUCUGGUUUUAUUGUUAUUAUACAUUAUAUAUUAUGUUAUAUUUCAGUUAUAUAAAGCAUGUGUUAUUGUGUUAGUAAAACAUCAAAGCCAAGAUACAUGUUGUUUUAUAUGUCUUUCAUGGACAAUUCAAAUGUACAUGUAUAUUGUGAAUAAAAUAAACAUUGGAACCAUACAGCACAUAUUUGUUAUGCUAAAACUAUUUUUAUGCAAAAAAAUUAUGCUUGCAUAUACAUUGUUCUGCUAAUUGAAUAAGAAUAGUGGUUAGAGGCUGCAAAAUAUUCUUGAACAGUAUUCUGAAAAAUUGGAAAAUAAAACUUAGCAUGAAAAUGAAUUUUUAAUAUUUGGGGUCUUUUUUGGAGUGAGGCAAUUUGGAAGUCUAGUUCAUCCAAAUAUGUGCUUAGAAAUUAGAAAGAAUGAGAAGAUUCCCAAAAUUAUAACAAAAUAUAUUUUGGAUGAAUGACAAGAUGGGAUAAAAAUGAAUGAAAAGGUAGGAUAAAAAUCUAAUGAAUAAGAACAUAGAAUAAUAGAGUUGGAAGGGACCUCGGAGGUCUUCUACUCCUUCCCCCGGCUUUAGCAUAAAUAAGCUCCAGCUUGUUUAGGAGAAACUCUAUACAAUAGCAAAAAGAGAUCACCCAAACAGAGGAAGGAUCAUGUUGCUCACCCCCUUUAUUUGAGAUUUUGAGUAGAGAGCAAAAGUUAGUGUUUAGUCACAGCAAUCUGUGUCCCUAUUGAGCAGGGGUGUCAAACUCAAGGCCCACAGGCAAGACCCGGCCCACAAUGUGAUCUGAUCCGGCCCAUGGGGCAGUCCUGGAAAUUGUAAGGGGCUGGCCCACUUUGGCCCGGUCUACCCAAUGCAAAGAAGAAACAUCAGGCCAGCAUGACUUUGGCUAAGUCUACCCAGUGCGAAGAGGAAGCAUGCCAGCAGUUUGGGGCGUGGGGUCAAGCUGGCCACGCCCACCCAGUCAGCCACACCCACCAAAUCGGCCAUGUCCACCUGGCCCCCCAAUGUCAACCACAGUCCUGAUGCGGCCCUCAAUGAAAUUGAGUUUGACACCCCUGCUGUAGAGGGGGGGAAAUAAAACUAGGGGAAGAAGAUUCUUUCACUUUCAAAACACCUGUAUCUUGCAAAUGAAAUAGGAACACUUUUUACCUCAUACUGGCAAGGUUGCUACAAUCCUCCCCUCUAAUUUAUCAAACUAGACAGAAAUGUUGCCUUCUCUACAGCAUGUAAAUUGACAAGGUCAUUUGUCCAAGUGGCCUACUGUUUUAUUAAACUUCUGUGAAUUUAACAUGCAUUCCUAGCAGGAGAUAAUUAUUCAGUAUCUACUUCUUGAAUAGUAUAAUGAAGAGUAUACUAAGCUAAUGAUUAGAUGUGGUGAAAAGUCCUACUUUGAAGUAAGAAAACUGCAUAGGUAGGCUGUAAGACAUUUUCCAGGCUGUGCUUUCUGAUAUUUCAUUACAAGGACAUUCCAAGAUAAGACAGUAGCUAUAUUAGUGAAUUAUCAUUUCAAAAUCAAUAUCUCAAUUAAUAUUCCAUAGUUUUGGAAUUGUAUGCAGAAAGAAAUCCUAGAAAAAAAGGUCCCUUCAUUAUAUGUCUCAAAUCCCAUUAGAAGCAACUUGUGUAGAACUUCAGUCUGCAAAUUUUCAAAGUUCAGUUUGCAGUUAAUUUCCUUAAGUUCUUAUCAAAGCACUCUGAGGAGUGUGCUGGAAAUUUAUCUUGAGCUCAUAAUCACAACUCCAUGAAUCAGUAGAUUUCCUUUACUUAGAGAGACUGUAGAGCAGAUUUUUCUGACAUUCAUUGUACAGUUUAUUAAGACAAUCUGUGCUCUUAUUGUCCUACAAUCUACAAAAUACAUGGGUACCAACAUGCAAAUAAGUGUGUAAAGUUUAAAUCUCAAACUGGCUCCAAAGCACUUUCAUUUUUGACCUUCAGGAAAAAGUGUUUCUAUUUCAGCCAACUCCUAUAUUCAGAAAUUUAUCAGAUUUUCUAGUUAAAACUCAUUUCCCCUCCCCCUCCAUGGAGAACAAAAUCAUAGUAGCCAAGAUUCCUUCAAGUUCUUCUCACUUAAACAGAGCCAAAGAAUUCAAAUGUUUCCCAAACAGGGAGGGGUUGCUAAAAAACCAGAUGCUGUAUUCCCUUACCCUCAAGGAAACAAUUGAUUCCACUACUUAUAUUAAAUGUGAUGAAAUUUACUCACUGAGUAUGAUGCUUAUAUCCUCUCCAAUAUCUGAGUUUAGGGUAAUCUGAAUUAACUCAAAAUUAGACGGAGAAUAAGCUUCACACUCAAGUGAGUAAAUUUCAUUGUAUUUGUAGUGUAUAUGAACAUUUUUAAGGGAACAAUUUCAGCUUGACCUAAAUUGUAAUACUGGAGAGAGCACUAGCUUUAAGCUUUACACUCGGUGAGUAAAUUGCUCAGCAAGUAAACAAAUGCUAUUAAGAAAACAUCUUAGAAAAAGGAAGUCCUAAGCACUAUGAAAUUGAGAAAUAUAAGACUGUAUAUAUAAAGAAAUUUCAAAACAGGACUGCAUUGUCCUAUUGGACAAAUGGUUGCAUUGUUCCACUAUAUAAAUGGAAUAGUAGCAAAACUGAAUCCAAAAUUGAAGGGGGAUUGGCUUGAAAGGGGUUUUGCAACCAAAAGAGUACAAAGAGUAACAAAACAACUUUUGGCUUUAUAUAUAGUCCUCAAUUUACAAUCACAAUUGGGACCAGAAUUUCUGUUGCUAAGCAAGGCAGUUGUUAAGUAGGUUGCGCCCAAUUUUGUGACCUUUUUGCCACGUUGUUGUUAAGAGAAUCACUGCAAUUGUUAAGUAAAUCUGCUUAACCAUGUAAGUCACUGGGAAAGACUAUGGUUCACCAGUUAUUUUUCAUACAUGGUUCAGAUACCGGGCCAUUGGAAAGAAACUAAGCAAAGUUUCAAUUUUUUUCCUCUUGAAUUUCACAUUAGGAAAAAUACAUAAUGGGAGGGAGAAAGGGAAGAGACUGUAAGAGAGAUGCCACAUAACCGAAGGUGACUCCUUGUCUAGCAGACAUAACAAAUUUGUCCGAUUUCAGACUGGGAGAGAGAGACAGAGAAAAAACAGGGAGGAGAAUUCAAUGCGUGUUGGCCAAAACCCAUCACAUGUACUUACAUCUUUUACAAUGGAAAAAGAGACAGCACCAGAAAGAAGACAGUUCCCGUCCUACAUUUCUUACAAGGAAGUAACAGAUAUGGUGAGAUACCACAAAGGGUAUCUUGGAAAAGGACUGAAUUCAAUUUCCAUGAUUAGGUAGAAUGACUGUUGCCAGAAAGGUUCUGGUUUUGGCCAAAUUAUUCUGGGGAAUUAUGGUUUAUAUAAAAAAAUACAAGCCUCAUUCCAAACAUCAAGGGGAAAAAAUCUAGGCAAUAGUGCAAAAACCAAACACUGGUCUAUCUCUCAGAGCACACUGUCAAAGGCUGCCAGCUUUAUUAUAAUAUAGUAUUAUCAGUUAUAUAUCCAUGACAUAAAAAGCACUUGCUUAUAUUAUGUUAAAAUUAGACUUUAAUAAGGGUUAUAUGAUUUUUCCCCACAAACGGUAGCCUUCUAGCCUUAUAGUCUUCUAUGGAAAAAAUACACUCCAAAGUGUCUUAAAACCAUCUAAAUGCAUAUAAUGUACAUUUUUAUAAAUUCCAGUUCACAUUGUGGGAUUCAUGGAGUAUAAUACUGAAAAAAUGUGUGUGUGUGUCUCUCUCUCUCUGUGUACAUACAUUAUAUACAUAUACAUACACAUAUACAUAUGCAUAUGCAUACGCAUACGCAUACGCAUACACAUACACACAUACAUACUGUAUCGCAUGGUGGGAAAGAGAGAAAUAGGGAAAGAUAGGUAGAAAUAUAAAAGGAGAGAUGAGAAAGCAAUUACAAUGACCAAUACAUGAGGCAUUCAUGUAUUGAAGAUAAGAAACACUAGACUUAAUUUAACUCACAGAAAAGAUAGAAUUUUUAAUGAAUUCUAGUUCAAUUGUUUCGUGAAGAAUUUAGUUUGUAGAAUACAUUGUUUCAUUAUGCAAUUCUUUGUUCAUACUAACACAAAUACAAGAACCAAAUACUAGGCAUCCUCAACAUCAACGUACAAGAAAGCCAAAAUGGUGAUAUGUAUAGCAAUAUCACAAUGUAAAACCACCAUUUUGUCCUUGGGCCCCAAAUUCUGAUCCAACCACAGAGGUUGCUACAUUCAGAUGAAGACGACACCAGGCACAUUUUAUAACCACCACCCCCGCUCUCCUCCUCACCCAUGUCUAAAGCAGAUUCCGAUGUUACUUCCACUAAAUAACUGCCCGGGCAACACUAAUAGUAUUCAGAACCUCAAGGGACUUUCAUGGGAAGAACCUUACAAUUACUUCUAGUUCAAUGUAAUAUAUACAAUCAAUAUCCAUAUGCACUUUAUAUUAGAUCACAUGAAGUCUGGAAGCAUCUUUUCAAAUUAUCACAUUAAAAGGUAUAAGCUUUUAUGAACUACAGUUCACUUUACCAGAUGCAUCUUCUAUUCUUCUCCUACACACUUUAUAUUGGAUAAAUUGAUCAAUGUCUAUGGAAUAUAUGCAACCAAACCUGACAACCCAAAUAGCAACUUUGCAAUGAAAUACAAUAAAUGUGUGAUAUAUGUAAUAUUACUUUUCUUGGACUUUCAUGAAUCACUAGAACCCCUGUUGUGUAGAAAGAAUUAUUACUAAGGGUGUCUCUUAGAUAUGGACCAAUACCAUCCAUUAAGUUUUUUCUCCUUCUUCUUCUUCCUCCUCUUCUUCCUUCUUCUCCUCCUCCUCCUCCUUCCUAGCAUAUUCCCGCAAGUGCAGGGUCCACUUUUCAGAUCAUUAAGCACCAUUGAUGGUGUCAGAUCAUUAAUCUGUUGAUGUUGUCUUGCCAUCUCUGUUUUGGGUGCCCACAAGGUCCCCGGACAUUGACUUCUAGUUGCAGUCUUGGCAACGGUGGCAACCCAUUAAGUAUUACAUAUAUUUGAGAAAUAAGAGAUGUGUUUAUAUUUCAAGUAGCACUAAUGGGGUUCUCAGAUGGCAUGCCAAUUGUAGUUAUUGACCAGAUUCAGAUCUGUUUUACACCACCCUCGUUACAACAUCAUAUGCUUUCCUGCUAUACCUUAAGGAACCUGAUCCAAUAUAAGAAAAAUCUUUAUUAUAUAAUUAUAAUAUUAUAUAAUUAAGCAUACUUAGAAUUUUAAAUAAUGGAAUGUGAAUUUUGGAAGCAGGAAUAGUUUCCCAUAAAAGCAUCACGUAGCUUAUAUCUUAGCCAUUCCUUUUUUCCAAGAAGAAUGAAAAGGUCAUUCCCAUGCUUUUACUAGAGAUUUUUGACAUAGUUAUGACAUCACCAAAAAAUAAUGUGAAAGCUAUCAUUGUGCCUGGAGUUCUAAGGCCACUUCCUAAUGAAGGACAUGUGCUCUGCUUGAGUUUAUUUUGAAAGUGGAUUUGCUUAUUUUUCAGAUGCAAUCAAAGGAAUGUUCAGAGGGCGAAAUAAGCACUUGAAACUUGGAAGCCAAAAAAUGGCAACCAAUUAAGUAAUUUACAUGGGCUGCAGAAUUUGCUUCAGGAAUAUAAUAAACUACCAAGGAAGCACAAUAUCCAGUGAGCUCAAUUGAAGAGACAUCCGGCUGUCACAGGAGGCUGCAAAGUAAGAAAAACAUGCUCUAGUGCUUUACACACUACACUUGCCUUGCCUGUCUCCAAGAACCAGGUUUUCACUAUGGAAUAAAUGUGUAUUCCUGUGUCAAGGGAAAUGAGUAUGCUAUUAAAAUUAAAUAUGUGGAUAUUCAAGGCCUAUGAAAUCUUUAACUGUGCUUAGAGCUUUGGGGUUAUGCAUCACAGAGAUCAGUUUCCUGACAUUUCACAGGCAACUGUGGCUGGCAUCUUCAGAGGCUGU